rnacentral:lncRNA from 1 species
UGGAGUAGAACGGCAUGUUGAUUCCCAUGAUCAAAGAUAUUGGUUUCUGACUAAAAAUCUCAGUCUAGCUGCUAAUGUAUGGAUGUUAGUUUUGAUUUUCAGGUUAGAACCAAAUAGAAAACCUAUGAAAUUCUCCGCUCGUUGGUUGUAUGCAAUCACGCAACACCAUCCUAUCAACAUUGGUAGAGUUAUAUGUAAAAGUAU